GGCGCAGUGGCGGAGUGGUCUAACGCGCAAGACUGUUAGUCUUCUUCCCCUUCGUGUAACCUGUCCUGUAAUUUUCUAACAUUCUCCAGAGAAAUCUUGUUCUUUCGGGAGCGUCUGUUCGAAUCAGGCCUGCGUCG